GCUGGAAUAGCUCAGUGGUUAAAGUGUGUGGUUGUUAACCACAAGGUCGAAGGUUCAAGCCCUUCUUUUAGCU